UUGGACACAUUCUUCUACAUCUGGCUCCAUUCUGCAAGAUUUGAAGAGCUUUCUUCACGUCUACACCUUGGCUCGCGUUUUUAUCAAACGAAGAGUAUUCUGCACGACUUGAAGGCUAUUCGAUUUCGAUUUGGACUUAAUUCUGCAAGAUUUAAAUAGAUUUCUGAUUAAACCUUACCCAAAUCAAGAUCUUGACGAGUACUUUUGAACCGUCGCCAGAAAACUACGGACAAGAAGGCAUCCUGCAAGAUCAUUGAUGUCUUUGUGUUUCUGUUCCAACGCUUCGCAUCGGCUCAAACUCAAUUGCAGGUCCAUGGGGUCCCAGCGCGCACAAGUUUUUUGGAGAAAUCGCGAAACGUCUGGUUGACGUAACUGGUGACCGAAGAGCUGGCGGCUUCCUCGCAGAGCGUAUCAGUAUUGCGAUACAACGAGGAAAUGUCGCCAGCAUCCUUGGUACAAUGCCUCAAGGGCCUAUUUUAGAUAUAAGCUAGUUAUAGUAAUCAUCUGUAUAUAUCCAUUAUGUAUAUUGUUAUUGUAAAUAAAUAUAGCAGUAGCUACUCUUCAGUGAUUUUGAUUUAGUUUUCGAGUUGGGAUACUGUUACUACUUGUGUUGUCUUGUAAUAUACAAAAAUAAAUUUGAAAAAAAAAACUAUAAAGUAUUAAGUA